CAUUCUUUGUGGAGAAAAAGAAAUAGGUAGCAGCCAGGAGACUGAGAGCUGCAGAGGGGUCAGGGCCACUUGAGGCACAGAGAGUAUUUCAAGAGAUUCAGUUUCCAGCAGGACACCGGGGGUCCAAGCUGAGCUUAGGUAUCUCCUCCUCAUCCAAAGGUGCAAAGUAACUCACCCAUCCAGGUGUGAAUACCCAAUUUGCAGUGUCAAAAGGACCUUCCUGACCCUAUUUGUCUUCCACAAUGAUUGAUGGCACUGAGG